rnacentral:rRNA from 1 species
UACGUAGGGGGCAAGCGUUGUCCGGAUUUAUUGGGCGUAAAGCGCGUGUAGGCGGCCAGGUAGGUCUGCUGUGAAAACUCGAGGCUCAACCUCGAGCUGUCGGCGGAAACCCUCUGGCUAGAGUCCGGAAGAGGAGAGUGGAAUUCCCGGUGUAGCGGUGAAAUGCGCAGAUAUCGGGAAGAACACCCGUGGCGAAGGCGGCCAGCUGGGCCGGCCCUGACGCUGAGGCGCGAAGGCGUGGGGAGCGAACGGG